rnacentral:misc_RNA from 1 species
GAUUAAAAGUAGGUUUACGAUUUGGAUUGAUUUUUUGAUCUGAUAAUGAUCUGUGCCUUCUAAUGAUUGUUACUAUAUGAGAUCCUGGGAUUUUGAUUUGGGAAAUUGUGAGCCAAGUUGAAGUGAAAUCGUGGGAUCUAGUUUACUAGAUGUUUGCUGGUUAGAAAUGGUUUUAUUAAGUUUUUGUUGUACCCAUAAUAGAAAUGGUUAGAAAUUGCUGCUAAAGUUGAACUCUUUUUGUCAUGGCUACAAUCUCCAUAAUCUGUCAUUUUUUAUUUCCUGUUUUUGCCCUUGUUUUUUUAAUUAGUUUGAUAUAUUUUAAUGGUGGUUGUAAUUAUUUUGAUUUGGAUUCUUAUCAAACUUUUCAAAUUUUUCGUUUUUAAUGAAAUGCAAUGGUUCAUCCUUAUGAUAGGAAGGGAGAAUAGUUUUCCCGGUUCACCUAUGAAUUUAAUUUAGCUUCUGGAUGCCCUAUUUUUUAUUGCACUAGGUGCAUAAAGUAAUUUUACCAGUGCUUGAUUUACUUUUAGCUUAAAAUUGACUUUGUUUCGUGUCCAUUUUAUGGUAUUUCAGGCUUGUUUUGAAUACCCUGUCAUUGUAGAAAUAAGACUUAAUUAUUGCCCCAGGGGAUCUUGUUUUGCACAUUCCUAUGUUUUGGGGACUGUCUACAUUAGGUUAGUUCUUGCUUUCUAAUACUUGAAGUUAAAGAAUCCUAAUCUCAUCUGUGCUUAUGCAAGGAAUGCAUAUAAAUGAAUGCACCUAUAUAGGCAUGGGGCUGGUCCAGGUUCAGACUGGAACUGAUCAAACCUAAAUUUGAAAAGAACCAUCUUGAGGAGUCCAAAUCGAUUUUGACUGGUUCUGUCCAGUUUCAGAUCAAAACCAGA